GACGAACGCUGGCGGCGUGCUUAACACAUGCAAGUCGAACGGAAAGGCCCUGCUUGCAGGGUACUCGAGUGGCGAACGGGUGAGUAACACGUGGGUGAUCUGCCCUGCACUUCGGGAUAAGCCUGGGAAACGGGGUCUAAUACCGGAUAGGAGCCAUUUUUAGUGUGAUGGUUGGAAAGUUUUUUCGGUGUAGGAUGAGCUCGCGGCCUAUCAGCUUGUUGGUGGGGUAAUGGCCUACCAAGGCGGCGACGGGUAGCCGGCCUGAGAGGGUGGACGGCCACAUUGGGACUGAGGUACGGCCCAGACUCCUACGGGUGGCAGCAGUGGGGAAUAUUGCACAAUGGGCGCAAGCCUGAUGCAGCGACGCCGCGUGGGGGAUGACGGCCUUCGGGUUGUAAACUCCUUUCGCUAGGGACGAAGCUUUUUGUGACGGUACCUAGAUAAGAAGCACCGGCUAACUACGUG
rnacentral:rRNA from 1 species